GAUGAACGCUGGCGGCGUGCCUAAUACAUGCAAGUCGAGCGAACAGAUAAGGAGCUUGCUCCUUUGACGUUAGCGGCGGACGGGUGAGUAACACGUGGGUAACCUACCUAUAAGACUGGGAUAACUUCGGGAAACCGGAGCUAAUACCGGAUAACAUUUGGAACCGCAUGGUUCUAAAGUGAAAGAUGGUUUUGCUAUCACUUAUAGAUGGACCCGCGCCGUAUUAGCUAGUUGGUAAGGUAACGGCUUACCAAGGCGACGAUACGUAGCCGACCUGAGAGGGUGAUCGGCCACACUGGAACUGAGACACGGUCCAGACUCCUACGGGAGGCAGCAGUAGGGAAUCUUCCGCAAAGGGCGAAAGCCUGACGGAGCAACGCCGCGUGAGUGAUGAAGGGUUUCGGCUCGUAAAACUCUGUUAUUAGGGAAGAACAAAUGUGUAAGUAACUGUGCACGUCUUGACGGUACCUAAUCAGAAAGCCACGGCUAACUACGUG
rnacentral:rRNA from 1 species